rnacentral:rRNA from 1 species
GAUGAACGCUAGCGAUAGGCUUAACACAUGCAAGUCGAGGGGCAGCGAGGGUAGCAAUACCUGUCGGCGACCGGCGCACGGGUGAGUAACGCGUAUGUAACCUGCCCGCAACAGGGGGAUAACCCGGCGAAAGUCGGACUAAUACCGCAUAAAACAGGGGUCCCGCAUGGGAAUAUUUGUUAAAGAUUUAUCGGUUGCGGAUGGGCAUGCGUACCAUUAGGUAGUUGGUGAGGUAACGGCUCACCAAGCCUUCGAUGGUUAGGGGUUCUGAGAGGAAGGUCCCCCACACUGGUACUGAGAAACGGACCAGACACCUACGGGAGGCAGCAGUGAGGAAUAUUGGUCAAUGGGAGAGAGCCUGAACCAGCCAAGUCGCGUGAAGGAUGACUGCCCUAUGGGUUGUAAACUUCUUUUACAAGGGAAUAAAAUGAGAUACGUGUAUUUUAUUGCAUGUACCUUGGGAAUAAGCAUCGGCUAACUCCGUG